AUUACGGGGUGCAGCAGGCGCGAAAACUUUACAAUGCGAGAAAUCGUGAUAAGGGAACCCCGAGUGCCCGUAAAUUCGGGCUGUCCGCCAGUGCAAAAAACUGGUGAAGAAAGAGCCGGGCAAGACCGGUGCCAGCCGCCGCGGUAAUACCGGCGGCUCGAGUGGUGGCCACUAUUACUGGGCUUAAAGCGUCCGUGGCUUGGUUGUUAAGUCUCCUGGGAAAUCCAUCGGCUCAACCGAUGGGCGUUCAGGAGAUACUGGCAACCUAGGGACCGGGAGAGGUGAGAGGUACUCCAGGGGUAGGAGUGAAAUCCUGUAAUCCUUGGGGGACCACCUGUGGCGAAGGCGUCUCACUAGAACGGCUCCGACAGUGAGGGACGAAAGCUGGGGGAGCAAACUGGAUUAGAUACCCGGGUAGUCCCAGCUGUAAACGAUGCGCGUUAGGUGUAUCGGUGACCACGAGUCACCGAGGUGCCGAAGGGAAACCGUGAAACGUGCCGCCUGGGAAGUACGGUCGCAAGGCUGAAACUUAAAGGAAUUGGCGGGGGAGCACAAU
rnacentral:rRNA from 1 species